rnacentral:rRNA from 1 species
GCUUGUCUCAAAGAUUAAGCCAUGCAUGUCUAAGUGUAAAUACGUCUACACUGUGAAACUGCGAAUGGCUCAUUAAAUCAGUUAUCGUUUAUUUGAUGAUCUCUUGUUACAUGGAUAACCGUAGUAAUUCUAGAGCUAAUACAUGCGUCAAGCCCCGACUCACGAAGGGGUGUAUUUAUUAGAUUGAAACCAAUGCGGGGCAACCCGGUAUUGUGGUGAAUCAUAAUAACUUUGCGGAUCGCAGACCUCGCGUCGGCGACGAAUCAUUCAAGUUUCUGCCCUAUCAGCUUUGGAUGGUAGGGUAUUGGCCUACCAUGGCUCUAACGGGUAACGGAGAAUUGGGGUUCGAUUCCGGAGAGGGAGCCUGAGAGAUGGCUACCACAUCCAAGGAAGGCAGCAGG